rnacentral:rRNA from 1 species
UACGUAGGGGGCUAGCGUUGUCCGGAAUCAUUGGGCGUAAAGCGCGCGUAGGCGGUCAGGUAAGUCCGGUGUGAAAGUCAAAGGCUCAACCUUUGAAUGCCGCUGGAUACUGCUUGACUUGAGUCCGGAAGGGGCGAGUGGAAUUCCUGGUGUAGCGGUGAAAGUGCGCAGAUAUCGGGAGGAACACCUAUUGCGAAGGCAGCUCGCUGGGACGUUACUGACGCUGAGACGCGAAGCGUGGGGAGCAAACAGG